rnacentral:lncRNA from 1 species
CUGGAGUGGACUCUAAUUAUCUUCGUGGAUACUCCUUCCCUUUAUCAAGUUAAUAAUCCAAUCGCAGAGUAGGAUACAAAGCUGUAUCCAUGGAACAUCAAAAAAAAGACUUCUGAAUAUAAAAGUUACACUACUAGUUUUAUGAGCCAACCCAAAGAUCGAGCUAAAGAGACUGUAGAUAUGUUUGGUGCUUCGUUUAUUUUAUAAUUAGAAGAUUUUGGAUUUUAGUGACUUUCAUUUUCAGUUCAUCUACUUUGAGAAAUAAGUGUCAAUAUUCGCUCGUCUUCUUUCUCCCAAUAGGUAUGUGAUUUAUCUAUAAAAGACUAAAGACUAUUUUUCUGAACACAAAAAGAUUAAAGAUCUAGAGCACAAAUGGACCGACUUUGUUAAAAUCUGAAGAAGCAAAGUCAAACUAAGUAAGCGCUGACUGAACCAAUCUAUACCUAAAAAUGUCCGUCUCUAUCCCUAUCCCUUUGAAAUUUACGUGCAUGUUCCACUAACGGAUAAUUUCUACUGGUCAACAUUUUGUCAGCCGUUGUUCCACCACGUGAUUAUGCACACAUCCCCAUUAGAAUAUGUUAAUAUAAAACUUCUUAUUAAUAUGGUGAACCAAACAUACUUAUUAUGUUGUAGUUGUUUUCAAGUGUAGGUUGUCAAGAUUACUCACAAAUCCUGUAACUGUGGUAUGCUAGUAAUCCUCAUGUAACUAUAGUAUGCUAGUAAUCCUCUGCAGCUCUCCUACACAUCAACAAUUCAAAAGUAUAUAACAAUCUAUAUUUUCCCCUCUAAUUUCUAAAAACUAAAGAAAAAAAGAUUGUAUAUUCGUGUAACUACUCUUUUUUAAUUAUAGAAGCUUAAUACAAAUUUGGUUUACCAAAUUUUUUUAUACAAUUGGUCAAAACAAAAAAAAACGUUUACACAAACUGAAUAUCAAAUAAUUUGGAUUUGCUCUAUUUUUGUUGGGGAAAAGUUGUCGCCCACUGCACCUGGACGGGGACAACAAUAUCCUCAAGUUCACUGGUUUCGAAAUCGUGACAAAAGUAAUUCAAUCACUUUAACGUCCAAAAGGUCCAUACAACUCAUGCCCUUUUUAUCCACUUCUCUAAAUAGAUUUUUUGAACAAAGGCUUUCAAACUAAGAAACAUAAACUAUUACAAGAUAAAGACUAUUAUAGUCUUAUAAUUGGAUAAAGUUUGCAUGAAACAAAUUUCAUGAAUCAUUGAAUCCCAACCUAUGAAACAACAAAGAUAAAGACUAGAAUAACCAAUAAAACAAUAAAAGACAAUAUCUAGUGAUAAGAACCACAGCCACAACGACUACGUUUCUCUCUCUUUCGAAUAGUCUUCCAUUCUAUAUUUUGGUAUUUGAUAGGAAAUUUUGUCUCUCUUCCACCUCUUAUCAAGCUAAACGAGUUAAAUGGCUCUGUUACAACUUCAUCUACAUCACUUAACACUUCGAACCGAGAAGAACUCUCAAAUACGUAAGGGUUAAAUGAUGUGGUUAAGAGAUCAACAUAUAAAAUUUCACAAAUGAGAGUAGAUUGUGAAUCUACUAAUAUGGGUAAAGUGGUGACAGAGUUUGGCGAAGCAGUGGAGUUCUCCUACUCUAAAAUAGGUUAUUUCAAGUUCAUAUACGAGACCUUCAAUCUUUGUAAAUAUGCUUUCAAAGCUCGGGGCCACUGCAAUUUGGAGUUCCAAUAUCUGACAAUUCUUAAUGAUUUUUCGGGAAAACUUUGAAUCAUUGUAUUACAUGUGAUAUAAGUGUUUUUAAAUGCAUAUGUAAAAGAAAAAGUUUGAUUAUUAGAAUUAUAGAUGUACAAUGAUUAACGAGCUGACCACGUGCUUUUUAUGGUUUGCUCGUUUAUUUAGGAUAUGAUUGAUCAUCUAUACUAUAUC